AGAGGGUGCGAGCGUUAAUCGGAAUUACUGGGCGUAAAGGGCGCGUAGGUGGAUAGAACAGUCAGCUGUGAAAUACCCGGGCUUAACCUGGGAGGGUCAGCUGAUACUAGCUAUCUAGAGUGCAGUAGAGGGUAGUGGAAUUUCCGGUGUAGCGGUGAAAUGCGUAGAUAUCGGAAGGAACAUCGGUGGCGAAGGCGGCUACCUGGACUGAAACUGACACUGAGGCGCGAAAGCGUGGGGAGCGAACAGGAUUAGAUACCCUGGUAGUCCACGCUGUAAACGAUGAGAACUAGCCCGUUGCCUUUUCUAAGGAGAAGGGAGUGGCGCAGCAAACGCGAUAAGUUCUCCGCCUGGGAGUACGGCCGCAGGCUA
rnacentral:rRNA from 1 species